GACGUAGGGCGCGAGCGUUGUCCGGAUUUAUUGGGCGUAAAGAGCUCGUAGGCGGUUUGUCACGUCGGGAGUGAAAACUCGGGGCUUAACCCCGGGCCUGCAGUGGGUACGGGCAGACUAGAGUGCGGUAGGGGAGACUGGAAUUCCUGGUGUAGCGGUGAAAUGCGUAGAUAUUGGGAGGAACACCAGUGGCGAAGGCGGCUCACUGGACCGGAACUGACGCUGAGGCGCGAAAGCGUGGGGAGCAAACAGG
rnacentral:rRNA from 1 species